UACGAAGGGGGCUAGCGUUGCUCGGAAUUACUGGGCGUAAAGCGCACGUAGGCGGCUCUUUAAGUUGGGUGUGAAAUCCCCGAGCUUAACUUGGGAAUUGCAUUCAAGACUGUCUUGCUAGAGUGUGGAAGAGGGAAGCGGAAUUCCAGGUGUAGCGGUGAAAUGCGUAGAUAUCUGGAGGAACAUCAGUGGCGAAGGCGGCUUCCUGGUCCAACACUGACACUGAGGUGCGAAAGCGUGGGGAGCAAACAGG
rnacentral:rRNA from 1 species